UACGUGAGGGUGCAAGCGUUGCCCGGAUUUAUUGGGCGUAAAGGGCGCGUAGGCGGCUCUGCACGUUCGUUGUGAAAUCGCCCGGCUCAACUGGGCGGGUCAGCGGAUACGGCAGAGCUUGAGCAGCUAGGGGGCAAUGGAAUUCCCGGUGUAGUGGUGGAAUGCGUAGAGAUCGGGAAGAACAUCAGUGGCGAAGGCGGUCUGCUGGGCCGUUGCUGACGCUGAGGCGCGACAGCGUGGGAGCAAACAGG
rnacentral:rRNA from 1 species